rnacentral:rRNA from 1 species
AGCGAACGCUGGCGGCAGGCUUAACACAUGCAAGUCGAACGGGCAUAGCAAUAUGUCAGUGGCAGACGGGUGAGUAACGCGUGGGAACGUACCUUUUGGUUCGGAACAACACAGGGAAACUUGUGCUAAUACCGGAUAAGCCCUUACGGGGAAAGAUUUAUCGCCGAAAGAUCGGCCCGCGUCUGAUUAGCUAGUUGGUAGGGUAAUGGCCUACCAAGGCGACGAUCAGUAGCUGGUCUGAGAGGAUGAUCAGCCACAUUGGGACUGAGACACGGCCCAAACUCCUACGGGAGGCAGCAGUGGGGAAUAUUGGACAAUGGGCGAAAGCCUGAUCCAGCCAUGCCGCGUGAGUGAUGAAGGCCCUAGGGUUGUAAAGCUCUUUUGUGCGGGAAGAUAAUGACGGUACCGCAAGAAUAAGCCCCGGCUAACCUCGUG